rnacentral:rRNA from 1 species
GUCUACGGCCAUACCACCCUGAACGCGCCUGAUCUCGUCUGAUCUCGGAAGCUAAGCAGGGUCGGGCCUGGUUAGUACUUGGAUGGGAGAAAUAUUUAGUACAAUAUAAGACAUAUGGGGUGCCUGGGUG